GUGGUUACUCGCCGCUGUAAAUGGGCAAAUAAUUAUCUUAAAAAAAAAAUCAGGAAAUAUUCUGGCCCCUGGAGCAGUCUGCUCAACUGGUAGGAGGAAAAGUCAAGAAAAGCUCCUUUGAGAAGGUCUCCCUGGAAGACAGGCCCAUGAGGAACUGAAGAAAGAAGUGGGAGGCCAGAGGAGAACUCACACAGGGUAUUUGGAGGACGAAGAAUUCAGACUGGAAAAUAAAAAUAACGUGGGAGAGAAGCUGGGGAGGGGUGGGAAGAAAAUAGAAGAAAGAGGAAGAAGUCCAAGAAAGAAGAAAAUGGACAUGAAGUAGUUGCUUUCUUAUAAACUCCCUGC